AUAAAAUCAUGCAGAGCUUUAAGAGCGCACGGCUUUUGGCCAGCAGCAUGAACACCAACAACAGUAACAACAUCAUCAUUCGCCUAUAAACAAACGUGUGUGCAAAUCCAUAAAACGCAACAAGAACAAGAAGUACAAGAAUGAAAACAAGUGCAAAUUGGGCCGCUGCGGCAAUCGAAAGCAAAUAGAUAGAAAAGAGAACGAACGAAAGGAAAAUACAUGGAGUGCUACCAGAGUAGCUAAGCAAUUAGACAAAUAAAAUUAGUGAAGACACAAAAAAAGCAGCAAAGCA